AGUAAAUCACUUUUCGUUUUCCGCCAAAACAGACGCGCCUAAAACAUAUUUCCCUAUUUUAUUACUUUUCCCCAAAUUUUUAGCGCUCAAUUUUAGUUUCUAUUGCUUUCUCUUUUCAUUAUCUAAACUAAGUUCUUGCAUCUUUGAUUUUUUGAUCUCUUCCGCUGUAUUCAACCCAAAAUCUGAGCAAGGUGGAAAGUUCUUGGAGGGAAGAAUGCAAACUAAUAGAAGUGAAAAAUCAACUUACGGAGGAGCGAAAAAAACGAGAAAUCAUGGAAGCUCGUAGGGUGAUCAAAAAAUAUUAAAACAGGGCAUGAUGGCACUAGUAUCCCAUAUACAAAGUUUCGAGGAUGAGCAUGCGUAAUUGAACCAUCUUCACAUCCGGUUCAUGAAGUGCACAAGCUGUUGGAAGAAGAUUUAGUUUUUUGGUUACUAUUAGAAUAGAACUUAAGGACAUUGGAAGAUUUAUUUUUUGGGUUACUAUCAGAAUAGAACUUAAGGACCUUUGAUAUAUGAUGUUUUUACUCGUUUUGUAAGUAAAAAUACACUUUUAGGAUUAUUUAGUUUUUGAAAGUUAGUAUGACGACCCGACCCGUCGUCUCAUGUGUUUC